GUGAUCCACUGGGGAGUACGGUCGCAAGACUGAAACUCAAAGGAAUUGACGGGGGCCCGCACAAGCGGAGGAACAUGUGGUUUAAUUCGAUGAUACGCGAGGAACCUUACCUGGGCUUGAAAGGGGAACGACCUCCCGGGAAACCGGGAUUCUCUUCGGAGCGUUCUCCUAGGUGCUGCAUGGUUGUCGUCAGCUCGUGCCGUGAGGUGUCGGGUUAAGUCCCAUAACGAGCGCAACCCCUAUUGAUAGUUGCCAGCGGGUAAUGCCGGGAACUCUAUCGAAACUGCCGGUGUAAACCGUGAGGAAGGUGGGGAUGACGUCAAAUCAGCACGGCCCUUAUGUCCAGGGCUACACACGUGUUACAAUGGUCGGUACAAAGGGCAGUUAUGCCGCGAGGCAAUGCUAAUCUCGAAAACCGGUAUCAGUUCGGAUCGAAAUCUGCAACUCGACUUCGUGAAGCUGGAUUCGUUAGUAAUCGCGCAUCAGCAACGGCGCGGUGAAUACGUUCCCGGGCCUUGUACACACCGCCCGUCAAGCCAUGGAAGCUUGGGGUGCCUGAAGUUCGUGUCCGCAAGGA
rnacentral:rRNA from 1 species